rnacentral:rRNA from 1 species
UACCGGAUUGAUGCUGCCAGAGGUGGUGCAUGGCUGUCGUCAGAUUCGUACUGUGAAGCCAUGCGUGUUGAAUGUUCUUGGUGAACAUGAGCGAGACUGCUCAGUAACACGUGGACAACCUACCCUUGGGUCCGGCAUAAUCCUGGGAAACUGGGAAUAAUUCCGGAUAGGUCACCGAUGCUGGAAUGCGCGGUGGCCGAAAGCUCCGGCGCCCGAGGAUGGGUCUGCGGCCUAUCAGGGUUGUAGUGGGUGUAACGUACCUACUAGCCUACGACGGGUACGGGUUGUGAGAGCAAGAGCCCGGAGAUGGAUUCUGAGACACGAAUCCAGGCCCUACGGGGUGCAGCAGGCGCGAAAACUUUACAAUGCGGGAAACCGUGAUAAGGGGAUCUCGAGUGCCAGCAUAUAAUGUUGGCUGUCCAGAUGCCUAAAAAGCAUCUGUUAGCAAGGGCCGGGCAAGACCGGUGCCAGCCGCCGCGGUAACACCGGCGGCCCGAGUGGUAACCGCUAUUAUUGGGUCUAAAGGGUCUGUAGCCGGCCAGGUAAGUCCCUUGGGAAAUCUGGCAGCUCAACUGUCAGGCUGCUAGGGGAUACUGUUUGGCUUGGGACCGGGAGAGGUGAGAGGUACCUUGGGG